GCUAGGGCUAUUAUUCAGAUAAAGUAAAGUAAAAUGCAGUAAAAGAAAGUAGAAUAGAGUACAAUAGAGUACCAUCAGGCAGAUCAUGGCACAUAGGGUUAUCCACUGCAAGAGUCAGGGUGUUAGAGACCGUUGUGUAUUGCAGGUUUGACUGUAACAUUAUUAGAAUAUAUGUCCCUCCAUGUAGCGGUGAAUGCUGCCAGAGUGUCCCUUGGUGAGGCUGCCUGCGGUGAGUUCUGCGGUUUGUGCCUUUUAUGUCUUCCGUUUGCUUACUUUAUGGAAGCUUAUUAGUAGG